rnacentral:rRNA from 1 species
UACGUAGGGGGCUAGCGUUGUCCGGAAUCAUUGGGCGUAAAGCGCGUGUAGGCGGUCCGGUAAGUCCGCUGUGAAAGUCGGGGGCUCAACCUCGGAUGCCGGUGGAUACUGUCGGGCUUGAGUACGGAAGAGGCGAGUGGAAUUCCUGGUGUAGCGGUGAAAUGCGGCAGAUAUCAAGGAGGAACACCAAUUGCGAAGGCAGACUCGCUGGGACG